UUCCAAACAAAAAGCAGGAGUCUGGUACGCCGCUGGGAACUCAGUACAGAUCUGUAGAGUGAUUGGGUCCCCGUUCAUCAGGUUGUGCCUUCACGUUAUAUACUGUUUUGAAAUCAAUAACGGACGUGUGUGAUUUGGAGGUAAAUAAAUGCAUCAUUUGGUCAUAGGCUGCCAGCUCCUGAGAAGCCACAUCUGGACUAAAGCAGAGGAAGACCCAUCACCUAGAAGUACUCGGAGACUGAAGUGCCUCCUGUUGGAUCCUUCAGUCACUUUGUCCGCCAGCACGGAUGUUUCUCUUUCUUGGUAUGAUGAUCAGGGAUCCGAAAGGCUAGGGAGGCACCGUUUGUUCCCGGCGGAAUGGCAGGCUUUGCAGCAAUUGUUGCGUAUGGACCAUAUCAAUUGAAGAGCAGGGGAGAUACUAGAAGGUCUGUUCAGCUGAUCCACGUGCGCGUGGCAGCCCAAGGCUUUGUCGUGGGAGCAAUGACUCUGGGUAUGGGCUAUUCCAUGUGUGAGGAAUUCUGGG